rnacentral:antisense_RNA from 3 species
CUUCAUGGUGGCCGUGCGCAGGGCACCUUCGGGUGCACCGGGUUCCUAGUCACCGGUCUGCUAACCUGCGCAUGGCCGCCACCCCA